GAUGAACGCUGGCGGCGUGCCUAAUACAUGCCAGUCGAGCGAACGGACGAGAAGCUUGCUUUUCUGAUGUUAGCGGCGGACGGGUGAGUAACACGUGGAUAACCUACCUAUAAGACUGGGAUAACUUCGGGAAACCGGAGCUAAUACCGGAUAAUAUUUUGAACCGCAUGGUUCAAAAGUGAAAGACGGUCUUGCUGUCACUUAUAGAUGGAUCCGCGCUGCAUUAGCUAGUUGGUAAGGUAACGGCUUACCAAGGCAACGAUGCAUAGCCGACCUGAGAGGGUGAUCGGCCACACUGGAACUGAGACACGGUCCAGACUCCCACGGGAGGCAGCAGUAGGGAAUCUUCCGCAAUGGGCGAAAGCCUGACGGAGCAACGCCGCGUGAGUGAUGAAGGUCUUCGGAUCGUAAAACUCUGUUAUUAGGGAAGAACAUAUGUGUAAGUAACUGUGCACAUCUUGACGGUACCUAAUCAGAAAGCCACGGCUAACUACGUG
rnacentral:rRNA from 1 species